rnacentral:rRNA from 1 species
ACUCUGUUGUUGGAGAAGAACGUGCGUGAGAGUAACUGUUCACGCAGUGACGGUAUCCAACCGGAAAGUCACGGCUAACUACGUGCCAGCAGCCGCGGUAAUACGUAGGUGGCAAGCGUUAUCCGGAUUUAUUGGGCGUAAAGCGAGCGCAGGCGGUUGCUUAGGUCUGAUGUGAAAGCCUUCGGCUUAACCGAAGAAGUGCAUCGGAAACCGGGCGACUUGAGUGCAGAAGAGGACAGUGGAACUCCAUGUGUAGCGGU